AAUGAAACAAAGUAAGAUUUAUCUACAUCCUGGGUGCAGUGAGUGACAGGAAGUUGAGGCAUCAUUCCAUGUGUGGCAUAAAGCAAAGUUCCCCAGAGAAAGUGAUACAGUGGUGCAUGCAUGAAUUGGGUGUGGAUAGAUGGUAGAAGUUACCCCCAUAGAGAAAGAAUUAGGAUAGGCAUCUAAGUAACUGUAGCAUGCGUAAGGUCGCAUAGGCAUAAUCAACGUAAGGCUGAUUAAAAGCCUUGUAUAUGGGUAGUUAGCCACAUAUGGGCAAAAGAAUGGAAGGAGAAACUAGAAGAUUUGGUUGGUAAAGGUAAUAUCUCAUAUCAACAUUCAUUUAGUCAUGUAUCACUUAACAAAUAAUUACUGUACAAUUAGUAAAGCCUGGAGUGUGAUAUAGUUAAAUUUACUUUUAAAAUUACCUAGAGAAAGUAUAGUUUCAGAACUUAACAACCAUAGACCAAAUAUCAUAUAUCCAAUGCCAAGAAUUAUACUGUGUUGUAGGAUGUUAUAUCAAUUUAUAUAAACACUAAAAUAUGUAUGUAUGCAUACAUGUAUUGCUAAUUUUCAUUUUCAAUUCCUAGAAAAAACUAGUUAAAUUAUUAGCCAAGUGAGGCUCUUGGGAAAUCAUUCUUUGUUUCAUUUUCUUGGUUAUUUGAUGUUUCUACUUGUCUUAGUUACUUUCUUGUUAAUGAGAUAAGAUAUUCAGUGCCCAUAAAUUAAAGGAGAGAUUUAUUUUAGCACACAGUUUGUGGAGGUUUCAGUCCACAGUUGGCUGCCUCCAAGGCAGGGUGGUAUGGUGGAGGAGAAACAGUCAAUGGCAGGGUAGGCAGAAAGCAAGGACCCAGACAGGUUACAGGCCUGUUAGUUGGUGCCACCCACACCAAGGAUGGAGCUUCUCUCUUCAGUAAUGCCUUUGCCCACAAAUUUGCUAGAUCAGUCAGUGAAUUAAACCAGUAUCACACCCAUGAUCCAGUAUCACACACCAAUGACCCAGUCACCCCCAAAAAGUCACCCCUCUGACCUCUUGAGGCUUUGGGGGGGAUGUUGAUAGAGAAAAAAUAACACUACUUCAACCUUAGGAAUGAUUCUUAUCCAUGUCCCCUGUUAAUGUUAUGGAAUUUAUCUUUUUCAUUGAAAAUUUAAAAAUUGUUGUAAAUAAUCUACUGUUUCUGUGAGUUUCUAAACAGUCUCAUUUCUGAGUCAGCCUUCAUUAUUUUUUCUGUAAUUACUCACAGAGUACUUUGUAAAAGUUGAAGUCACGAAGGUCACACUGAAAUGAGCUUCCUCCAUAGAGAUGGUAGGAAACAGAGGCAGAUUUUAAGGUGCCUAUGUGGUUAGGAAAGGGGCCAAAGAAUGAGAGGCAAGCGUGAAGCAAGUGAGGCGAGUGUGCACCCACAAGCAAAGAACCUCCAGGGUCCAUGCGAAAAUGUCCUUUAAACUAAGGGAAGCUCACACUGGCUCUGAGUUUGUGUGCCUGUGCUUACAAGUGUAUAUAUCAGCAGCUGCAUUUGGAAUGAAGACAGGAAACACAAAAAAGAAAGCCCUGGAGACAAAAGUACUUGCAAUCGAGGUUCAAGAUAGAUGUAAGAUGUGGUUACUUUGGUACCAUUAAAGUGUUAUCUUUGCUACGUUACAAACAGUCACACGGGAAUUCAGCCACUUAUUGCUUAUUUUCCUAAUUAGUGAUCUCAAUUAGUGGAGUUCCAUUUCCCCAGUUUAAGUGCUGUGCUGUGUUGGAGGUUUCCCUGAGCCUGGCCAUCCUGUAGCAUAAGGAGCCCCACUAGCAGUUGGCAUGGAGAGGCAUAAAGGGAGUUGGAGACACCAACUGUGUUCUACUUGGGAAGCUAAUGGGCUCCCAGGCUCACUGCAAAACCAACAAAGCUGUUCUACCUUGGUCUGUUUCUUAGGAUCCCUAGCUAAGGGGAAGGUGAGGAAAGAGAAACACCAGAACUGGAGAGUGCACUAAUGCCACAAUUGACUAGGUAAUAUUUAAAGCAAUAUUUAGGACAACAGGCUAGCGAUGGACCCAUACUGGUCCUCUACUUUGUAACUAACACUUUAUUAGAACUAUAGCCAGGAGAACAGUUUGAAGCCAGUCUGGACCACAUAGAGAGUUCAGGGCCAGCCGGAACUAAAAUACAACACCCUGUAUCAAAAAGACAAGCACACAACAAUCAAAACAAAAUAAAAUGUUGCUUUAAUACCCUUUGGAUUAAUACUCUGAGUUCUUUAGAGGGCUCCGUUUGUUCUACACUAAUCAUGAUUUCAGAUAUUUGGGUCCUAGAUUAAAUUCUGAACAGAAUAUAUGCUCAAAAGCUGAGAUCACAUCUCUAGAAUGUGCAUAUUGACAAAGCACUUAGAAACCAAGGCAUGGCUAGAGGGAAGAGGUAGGAAAGGGUUCAACAGGGAAGGGAGAGAGCAUUUUUUUCAAAUGCUGUCAGAAUUUCACCUUUCUCACAAGUCAUUUAUGAUGUUUUUGUUCUGGCUAAGGGUAUGGCUAAAUAUUUAACCUGGUCUUCGCCACUUAAUAGACUUUUAGAGUUGUACUCUUAAUUAUUAUACUUUUAGGAUCUCGAUGUGUUAAGUGAGCACAAUAAAAUACCCAUUUCAUAGGUUCAUAUUGUGGCUAUCAAAUGACAUUAGAUGCAUAUAAAGUUGUGAAGCUCAGUUUCUGGUAUACACAAGGGGCUAUAUAAAUACUCGCAGUUAAUUUCCUUGUAUUUGAUGCUAUCAUUGCAUUAUUUACUAAGUGACUUCUCUAUUACAUUACAUAGUGUACUAUUAAUGUAUUAUGUGAAUAGUAAUAGGUAUUCAAUGUCAAAUUAUGUUACCCAUGUUACAAGUUACAUACAACAUGUUGUAUAUGUAAAUCAUAUAUUUUAUUGUCUGCAUUUCCUGAAAAACUAUUUUGUCCUUUGGAAAAAGAGUUUACACAGUAUGCCACUCUCAUAGCUUGGGUUUUGCUUGCAUUCAUUUAAUUUGUCUUUUAUAUUGUUUUGAUAUACUUAAUGCUACAGUAUACGAAGUUGUACUCAAGGAUUUCAAGGAAAGAGACAAUACGGUAACUACUUUUAGGUCAGGAUUAUCUGGUGGUGAAACACUAUUCUGCUUAAAUGGUUAUGUUUUGAUCUGCACUGUUUCGUUGUUAUGCCCUCUUUUAUCUCAAUCUCCACUCCAUUAUUUACUUUUUUAUUUUUAUCCUUUUAAUUAAAGGAAAAAAAAUAGCAGGAUAUAUUAUAGUAACCCACUUUGACUUUCCAUUACCUCGACUUAAAGCCCUGUAUUACUCUCACCAUCUGGUUUUUAACUGAUGUUCCCCUAUUCUGUUUUGCUGGAUAGUAUGAUAGGCAUCAGCUGUGAAGAUAAUGAGAUUCAUUAUAACUCCUAUUCUCGUUGACUUUUAUCUACUUUUGAAGACCUACAAUAUCUUCAAUGUUUUGGUUUUGUCGGUUUUAUUCUUUACUGUUUUGUUCAAUUGUAUUAUAACUAACGAUAUAGGCAAUUCUAUUAGAGAUAGCGGGAGGCAUUAUGGUAACCAUUGUUGAUCACCUUGUAUUAUGUUUUCACAUUAUCUAUUAUGUCCACCCUUUUGACUUGACCGAUUCUGUUCUGCUAUGUCACAUUUGGUUUUACUCUCUUCCAAAAAAGUAAUAAGAACCGUGGGAGCAAUGAAACCCAAAAUGUGUAAUAGUCAUUGUACAAAAGAGAGGAAAAGAAAGUGCUCUAAACUAUAUAACUGCAUGUAUAUUUAAGUGUAUAAGAUAGAAAAUGAUAUCAUAGAGUUUUAUUGGAUCAUUGAACAGAUCUGUUUGCAGUAUCAUUGAUGGAAUGUCCACUUUACAAGCUUUAAUUUUGUGACUUGAACAAUUAUUUCUAAGAUGACAAUAUGUAAUCCAUUAACUAGUGAUUUCCUACUGUUCAUUUUUUUUCUGUAAAUCUGUAUAACUUGUACCCUUUCUCUGUUUUUUUUUUUUCUUUUCUCCUUAAAUAAAAUUUUAAAAAAAUUUUG